UUGCCAAGCUUGAGCUGUCAAGGACGCACACCUCAAUAGUCGUGCUUGCCAUGAAUGGACGGGUUCAGGAUUCACAAGUAGUCUUCGUUUGACAAGUUUGGCAUGGCAUCAGCAAUUUUCUGAUUAGAAGACAGGUUGAAAUUACGGCAUCUUGAUGUCAGAUCGUACGUUUUUUUUUUUUUUUUUUUUUUUUUUUUUAAAUUUUUUAAAUUUUUUAAUGCAAUUGUAUUAGUAAAUUCUUGGCACAUUUAAGUCAUUGCGCCAAGGUCAUGGUUUUGUCGGUUGCAGGAAUAUAAUGGAUCUGCACCAGGUACCUCCGUCUAAAAGUUCACGUGUAAUUGUCUUUGCGGUCUCUGUUGGUGUUUUUGUUCCUACUUCGCAGUAUUUGCAUCUGUGCAGUUAGUCAUGUCCACUGUGCGUUUCAGCUUCUCGCCCAUGCAUAGUCAUGGAUUUCGCAACUUCCAUAAAACGUAUCCUUGGAUUUCCGCACAGUUGUGUAUAUUAUUUUUCAGUGGUUUUUAUUGGAACUUGAUGACCCGCAAAUUUUGAAACCUAAAAAUAUGUAAAUGUGUUGAUGUAAAUAAGAGUUCUUCCUUCUCUUGAUCAGCUUCAUGUACACUCUACAGGUGUUUGCAAGAUAGGUUUCACAAGAUGCACACUUCCAUUGUGGUAUUUAUGCCCUUAAGCUUCCCAAUCUUAAGGUUGAUAAUAGCUUGGUUUCUGAAAUUUCAGGUAUACCUACCAGCGGAUCAAAUUGCUAGGAUGCAAAUUCUGUCUGAAGCCAACUGAAGUCAUUAACUAGUGAUCAUUGAGUGCUGUC
rnacentral:lncRNA from 1 species